AUGACCACAUCAUUUUGAAACACUGGCUCAUGUACAAUCACUGAAGUUAAGCAACGUUGAGCCUGGUCUGUACUUACAUGGGUGACUGCUUGUGAAUACCAGAUGAUGUAA